AUUGAACGCUGGCGGCAUGCCUUACACAUGCAAGUCGAACGGCAGCACGGGUGCUUGCACCUGGUGGCGAGUGGCGAACGGGUGAGUAAUGCAUCGGCACGUACCCGGAAGUGGGGGAUAACGUAGCGAAAGUUACGCUAAUACCGCAUAUUCUGUGAGCAGGAAAGCGGGGGAUCGCAAGACCUCGCGCUUCCGGAGCGGCCGAUGUCGGAUUAGCUAGUUGGCGGGGUAAAGGCCCACCAAGGCAGCGAUCCGUAGCGGGUCUGAGAGGAUGAUCCGCCACACUGGGACUGAGACACGGCCCAGACUCCUACGGGAGGCAGCAGUGGGGAAUUUUGGACAAUGGGGGCAACCCUGAUCCAGCCAUGCCGCGUGAGUGAAGAAGGCCUUCGGGUUGUAAAGCUCUUUCGGCUGGGAAGAAAUCGCAUCUCCUAAUACGGGGUGUGGAUGACGGUACCAGCAUAAGAAGCACCGGCUAACUACGUGCCAGCCGCCGCAGUAAGAC
rnacentral:rRNA from 1 species